rnacentral:rRNA from 1 species
AUACGUAGGGGGCGAGCGUUGUCCGGAUUUACUGGGCGUAAAGGGUGAGCAGGCGGUUGCAUAUGUCAGAUGUAAAAGGCACAGGCUCAACUUGUGUUAGCAUUUGAAACUGUGCGACUUGAGUGCAGGAGAGGUAAGUGGAAUUCCUAGUGUAGCGGUGAAAUGCGUAGAGAUUAGGAAGAACACCAGUGGCGAAGGCGCUUCUCUGGACUGUAACUGACGCUGAGGCUCGAAAGCGUGGGGAGC